ACUCUUUAAAAGCAUUCCGUGAUACGGCCAAGACUAGAGAAGAGAGGAUUGAGUUGUGUCGUUGCGUGCAGGAUCGUUCUAAUAGAAACAGAGCUGGUGUUCCUGCUCCAGAUGCUCGUGUUCCUAAAAUAGACGCUCUUCCUGCAAAAUGCGGACUUCCAUUUAUAUACUCUGCAGAUCGUAAAUUCGACUGUAACACCGUAAACUAAGCUUACCUCCGGUGCAUGAAGAAGUAGUUGGAGGAAAAAUCGAUAUAUAUAAUAACACUGAGGCCAUAUAUGUGCCUUAAGAAAUAAAUUUAUGAGCAAAUGUAUCUCAUAUGUUUUGUAAUUUUUCAGUUCAACAAGAAAUGCAACUCCUGUUUUGCAUCCACCGUAACUCAUUGAGUUCUGUAAUGUAUUUCUGGCGUGCUAUAUUAUAAACGUUUGACGUUUCUUAUUAA